UACAGAGGCCUCGAGCGUUGUUCGGAAUUACUGGGCGUAAAGGGAAUGUAGGCGGUGACGUAAGUCAGAUGUGAAAGCCCCGGGCUUAACCCGGGAAGGGCAUUUGAUACUGCGUCGCUAGAGUGCGAAAGAGGAAAGCGGAAUUCCAGGUGUAGGGGUGAAAUCCGUAGAUAUCUGGAGGAAUACCGAUGGCGAAGGCAGCUUUCUGGUUCGCAACUGACGCUGAGAUUCGAAAGCAUGGGGAGCAAAC
rnacentral:rRNA from 1 species